AGUACCAGGACAGGCAGCAAAGCUACAGAGAAACCCUGUCUGGAAACAUGCCCCCCUAAAACAAAAAAGGAAGAAAGCCAUCUAAGCCUGGUAUGGUAGCAUUUGCCUUUAAAACCUGCACCUGGGAGAGCUUCACAGUUUUGUCUGGUGAAUUGGGGAUCUUUAUCUCUGGCUAAGACUACCCUGCUGAACUCCAGAAGAACUUCUCCAUACAGCACUUCCCCAUUGGAGCCUCUGGAGGACCCCAUGGCCAAAAGUGCAUUCUGGCUUCCUGUUGCUCUUCCCCAAUCCGCUCUUCCUGAUGUCUUCUCACAGGAGCAAUUUGUAAACACCAAUAAGGAAAAUUCUCCUUACUUCAACAAUAUUUUUCCUAAGGCAGUGCUGUUGGCUGGAGCAGAGCCCUGGAAGAAGAGCAUCAACCGAGGUGGUGCCUCAGUGACUUCUCCGCGUGACUGUGGCCCGAGUUAGAAAGCCAAGCGUUUUUACUUCAGCUUAGCAGCUGUACCGGAAUCUACUGAUAUCUUAAUUACCAUCUGUGCCCUGCAACCCCUAGACCCGUGAGUCACAUGCUGGGAUGAAGACCUGCCAGACCAGAGAAGCUGAGAAGCAACCAGCUGACCUUCCUUUCGGCCAGAGACCCAGCAAGGGAAGCACCUUUCCACUUGUCCCAGACCAAAAGGACUUUGAAUCUCUAAGUCUCUCCCUACUCCUUCCUGUGUGUCUCCUUAUCCAUAUUCCCGGCUCCUGUGUCCUCUCUAUAUUAAUUCCUGUCGACUAGCUGCUGGAUCCACCCCUGCACCAAAGUCAAUCUUAUUAACAGUCUCAACGAUUCACAUUGUGAUCAAAUAUCCCACAAAAGCAACAGUGGCACAAAGUUUAUGGGAGUAACCAACUAAUAUCUGUCUGACUUAACAGCCACUCUAUGACACAGAACCUAUACUGAACACUGAGUGUAUGACCAAGAACCUGAGACUAGAUAGUUCAGAGACCUAGGGUAAAACUACAUAUUACUGUUAAAAAAAACAAUCAAAUGACUCCCAAUGACAUUCUGCUAUGUUCAUAGAUCAAUGUCUUGCUCAGCCACAAUUAGAGAAGCUUCUUCUGCAACAGGUGAGAACAAAUGCAGAGAACCACAACCAGACAAUAUACAGAGAGUGAGAGACCUCAGAACACCCAGCUCUGAGAGGGAUGUCCAUUAAAUCCCUCCUCUCAGUACUCAUGUAACCCUGUUGAAGAGGAGGCAGGAAGAGUGUAAGAGUCAGAGAAGAUGGAGGACACCAAGGAAGCAAGGCCUUCUAAACACUAGGAUAUACGCACAUAUGAACUCCCAGAGUCUGUGGUAGCAUGCACCGGGCUUGCACAGUUCUGCACCAGAUAGGGUCCUAGAGCACAUCCCUACAUUCCCUAUCCAUAACCCAGAAGCCAUGUCUAUUGAUAGAUACUUGCCAAGGACAAAUUAGUUUCUCCAAGGGAGUGCCAUUGAGGAAACAGACCACUCUUAAAUGCAGGCACCAGAUGGCCAACACAAAACAAACUCAGGGGCGUCUUUGGAGGUUCUUUGUCUCCUAAAGUUUUUUAAGAGUAUCUUUUUAAAAAACUUU